rnacentral:rRNA from 1 species
UUCGAUUAAGCCAUGCGAGUUAAAUGUUCUUCGUGAACAUAGCAGACUGCUCAGUAACACGUGGAUAACCUGCCCUUAGGACUGGCAUAACCCCGGGAAACUGGGGAUAAUUCCGGAUAGAUCAUAAAUGCUGGAAUGCUUUAUGAUUGAAAGGUUUCGACCGCCUUAGGAUGGAUCUGCGGCCUAUCAGGUUGUAGUGGGUGUAAUGUACCUACUAGCCUACGACGGGUACGGGUUGUGGAAGCAAGAGCCCGGAGAUGGAUUCUGAGACAUGAAUCCAGGCCCUACGGGGCGCAGCAGGCGCGAAAACUUUACAAUGCGGGAAACCGUGAUAAGGGAACACUGAGUGCUAGCAUUUAUGUUAGCUGUCCACAUGUGUAAAUAGCAUGUGAUAGCAAGGGCUGGGCAAGACCGGUGCCAGCCGCCGCGGUAACACCGGCAGCCCGAGUGGUGAUCACUAUUAUUGGGUCUAAAGGGUCCGUAGCCGGUUUAAUCAGUCUUCUGGGAAAUCUAAUCGCUUAACUAUUAGGCUUCCAGGGGAUACUGUUAGACUUGGGACCGGGAGAGGUAAGAGGUACUGCAGGGGUAGGAGUGAAAUCUUGUAAUCCCUGUGAGACCACCAGUGGCGAAGGCGUCUUACCAGAACGGGUCCGACGGUGAGGGACGAAAGCUGGGGGCACGAACCGGAUUAGAUACCCGGGUAGUCCCAGCUGUAAACGAUGCUCGUUAGGUGUCAGGAACGGUGCGACUGUUUCUGGUGCCGAAGGGAAGCCGUGAAACGAGCCACCUGGGAAGUACGGC